CACCCAGCCAAUCCUAUUCUAUCUUGCUGCUGCAGCCCCUUCUCCUUCCCUGGUGUGGUGGUGCCCCCUUGCUGCUGCAACUCCUCUCCAAUCCAAGCUUGGUGAUGGCAAGGGCAGGCUUCAUGGCUGGGGGAGGCAUGCAGGGAAGGGGAACGAAUUUGUGAUUCUCGCAUAGGUGGUGGUGCUUCGUCUCAUACUUGAAGUUCGUCGUUAUCAUCAGUUGAAGGCAA